rnacentral:rRNA from 1 species
UAGACCUGAGGUCAGGCAAGACCNCCCGCUGAACUUAAGCAUAU